UACGAAGGGGGCUAGCGUUGCUCGGAAUUACUGGGCGUAAAGGGCGCGUAGGCGGAUGUUUAAGUCAGCGGUGAAAGCCCAGGGCUCAACCUUGGAACUGCCAUUGAUACUGGACAUCUUGAGUACGGGAGAGGUGAGUGGAACACCGAGUGUAGAGGUGAAAUUCGUAGAUAUUCGGUAGAACACCAGUGGCGAAGGCGACUCACUGGCCCGUUACUGACGCUGAGGCGCGAAAGCGUGGGGAGCAAAC
rnacentral:rRNA from 1 species